rnacentral:lncRNA from 1 species
CCUCCUAGCAUUGCCCUCGGCGUCUCCCUGCAUUGCUUUGUGUGCGUGCAGUGUGCGUAGCCGGCGUUGCGCUGCACUCGCCGUGUAGUACGUACGUACGUACAGUUGAGUCGCGGUGACAGCAAACCUCCGUGCACGUUGUAUCAGUGCUGCGUUGUUUUCUUCCUGUGUUUGGCAUACGUGCGGUCAGAGUAACGUGUAUGAUGUUUACGGCCUAGUCAGCGCGGCAUGAUUUGCUGCGAAGUUGGUGAGCUCGGCUCCAGGGCAUGACGUUUUCAAAGUUAUAUCUCGCGGAACAGUGUCAGAAGUCGAUGAUACAGCUGUUGCCAUCGUCCUCGUAUGCACGCUGUGGUGACGGUGAUCAUUGACCGUACAAGUUUCUGCUACCUUGCUAUGGUGCAUUUCGACUGUCCUCUGGAGCGCCAAGGAAGCAUUCAACAGGAAACGCCUAUACUGACCAGCAUUCUUUGAAGCCUGCAGGCAUGUGUUUCACAUCCAAGGGAGCCCUCUGCCGAGUGUUCCGACUAGGCACCGCGGGAGGGUGUGCGCCACCGUACCGGUCACGUGACAACCACCGGCGCACAGCUGCCACGACUGGGAGCGUCGUGACUUCACGCUGCUACUUCCACUUUCAGGCUGGCGGUCGGGCGAGUGGCGCACUAAAGCCCGGCUGCUCUGCAACGAAAUUUUGUGCGAAGAUGAACUGAUGGCCGUCAAAAAAGCACAUUAAUGGGACUCACAAUGCAGCUGUUCAGGGAUAUAAACGAUGCAUAGUGUUAAUUUUUUUUCAGGGGAUUUUAUUCGCGGGUUUUUUUUUUCUUUUUUUUUUCCCUUUUUUGACGUGCGGCUGCCCGUAUUAGAGUGGCCAUUAACAAAUGGUCAUGGAUAAAUUCUGAUGCAAAGCUUUUUUUUUUAGCACUUGAUCUGGAUCGGUAAAAGCGGGGUUGGCUGCCUUAUUACAGGGAAGAUUAGUUCACCGUGCAUCUAUUGACAAUACUAAUGGCGGGGACAGGGAUAUGAGCAUUAUUUAGGAGGCUUCAGGAUAAAGCGAUUUAAAUAGUUAAGAGAUUGGAGCAUGCGAGGAAUUAUAUUUACUCAAAUAGUAGCACGCUUAAGCCUGUGUGAAGAAUAAAUGAAAGUUCGAACACAUACACAGCGCCUGUAUUUAUUAAUUGGGGGCAGGUUGAGCAAAACACAAAACCAACAAAAUA